rnacentral:lncRNA from 1 species
UAUACUUCACGGGAGUCCUAUUACCCCCUCAAGCUAUUUAAAAUCGAAAUUAUUACCUCUCUAAACUUUCACAACCACAUCUACCUUGUCUAGAGAAAUCCACCCACUUGACACGUAUUUACCAUAUGUAAAUUUUAUUAAAAACAUUUUUUUUAUUCUUUCUCCCUUUUAAUUUACUAUUUUUAAUACCCCAUCAAAGGUCAAAAUGUAAAAAAUUGUUCAUGGAAGUUUUGGAUCUUCA